rnacentral:tRNA from 1 species
GAGGGUCUAGCUCAGUGGCAGAGCAUGUGCUUAACACGCAGGAGGUCCUGGGUUCAAUUGCCGGUACCUCCA